AAGGCUUAAAUGUUAAUAAUAGACGAGAAGACCCUAUAGAUCUUUAUUUAAUUAAUAUUUUAAUAAUUUAGGAUUAUUUUAAUUUAAAAUUUUAAUUAAAUUUUAUUGGGGUAAUAUAAAGAUUUAAUUAAUUCUUUUUAUUAAUUACAUUAAUUUAUGAAUAAAUGAUCCAAUACUAUUGAUUAUAAGAUUAAGUUACCUUAGGGAUAACAGCGUAAUUUUUUUGGAGAGCUCAUAUCGAUAARAAAGU
rnacentral:rRNA from 1 species